rnacentral:rRNA from 1 species
UACAGAGGGUGCGAGCGUUAAUCGGAAUUACUGGGCGUAAAGCGCACGUAGUCGGCUUUGCAAGUCGGGUGUGAAAUCCCCGGGCUCAACCUGGGAACUGCAUCCGAGACUGCAUUGCUAGAGUAUGGGAGAGGGAAGCGGAAUUUCUGGUGUAGCAGUGAAAUGCGUAGAUAUCAGAAGGGACAUCAGUGGCGAAGGCGGCUUCCUGGACCAAUACUGACGAUCAGGUGCGAAAGCGUGGGGGAGCAAACAGG